AUUUAAAGGGCCAGGCACAUAAAAUAUUUCUUACUGCAGGAAUUUGUCCCUAUGUGGCUCCGCUUAACUAUGCAGAGGUUGUAACUUACCUGUAGAUCAGUGAGACUCUGCAUGGAAAAUGUUCAUGGAUGAAGAAAUAAGUACAGGCUAUGAACUUUGUGCAUGGUAUUGGUCCCCGCACCUUUCAUUCAUCAGGAAAGGUCUAAAAUCCCCUAGCAUGAGGAUGUAGCAGAGCCCAGGAUGAGUGCUCCCUCAGACAGAGCUGCUGCAGCAGGAGCACUGAGUGUUCACAGCAAGUAAGCCACCAUUGCAUCCAAUCCCAGCAAGCAUGGCAGUUGUGGGUGGGUUUUCUUCCU
rnacentral:lncRNA from 1 species